rnacentral:rRNA from 1 species
GACGAACGCUGGCGGCGUGCUUAACACAUGCAAGUCGAACGGAAAGGCCUGCUUUCCCUUGUGGAUUGCGGGUACUUGAGUGGCGAACGGGUGAGUAACACGUGGGUGAUCUGCCCCCAACUUGGGUAUAAGCCUGGGAAACUGGGUCUAAUUCCCGAUAGGACUGCAGGGUGGUGCCUGUGGUGGAAAACGAUUUUCUAGUGGUUGGGGAUGAGCUCGCGGCCUAUCAGCUUGUUGGUGGGGUAAUGGCCUACCAAGGCGGCGACGGGUAGCCGGCCUGGGAGGGUGGACGGCCACAUUGGGACUGAGAUACGGCCCAGACUCCUACGGGAGGCAGCAGUGGGGAAUAUUGCACAAUGGGCGGAAGCCUGAUGCAGCGACGCCGCGUGGGGGAUGACGGCCUUCGGGUUGUAAACUCCUUUCGACCGCGAGGAAGCCACCUGGUUGGAAGGGUGGUGACGGUAGUGGUAGAAGAAGCACCGGCUAACUACGUG